CAGGUGUGCUGGGAUCGUGUGUCUCCAGAUACAGGUGUUGCUGGCCUAGUUAGUGAUUUUUCUUAUUUGUUUAAUGUUAGCCACCUCUCCAAAUAAUGCCUGGGGCCAGGUAUCCUGCUGGAGCCCCGGAUGUAGGCAGCAGAAAAUGCCAUGGCCCAGGGCACAGUGGUGUCUGACUUUUACUCACCUGUGCUGCUUUCUCCUUCCAGAUGUUCCCAGGAUCAUGUUAGAGACCAGGGCAUUGUUAUCACGGCAUGAUUGAAGCUGGUUGCUACAAUACUCAGAUUCCAGCCAGUGAGAAGAAGAAAGUAUGGAGGAAGCAAAUCAAUAUCUCAAGAACCAGACACAUGACUUACUGUCACAUUCUACAGGUGAGAACCUUGUCACCUGGCCAUUCAACUGCAAGGGGGCUGGAAAAUGAGGUGUAGCUGAGCAGAUGGGAGCCCAGAAGCAAUUCCAUUCAUGUGAAGGGAGGCCAGUACAGAUUGGAAGUGACUCUAGAGGUCUCCAUCACAGCCACUGCUUCCCUGCCAUGCGCAAGACCUGUAUGCUCAUGUGCCACCCCCUGGCCCAGUGCACAAUGUUCCAGAACUUUCAUCAGGCCUCACUAUCAUAGCCAUUUCCCUCUUUUGGACUUUCCUUGCCCACACCCCAACCUCACAGGAAUAUAAUCUCAAGAUUACAGAAUUUUCACAUCAGCUUUCUUCAUCUUUUUCAAGCCUGCAGGACAAAAACAAACCAAUAAAUACUGUACCAGUUCAACCUCAUCUGUUUACCUUCUUUUUUCCAAAUUAACCCA
rnacentral:lncRNA from 1 species